rnacentral:rRNA from 1 species
GCACAACGCGAAGAACCUUACCUACUCUUGACAUCCAGAGAACUUAGCAGAGAUGCUUUGGUGCCUUCGGGAACUCUGAGACAGGUGCUGCAUGGCUGUCGUCAGCUCGUGUUGUGAAAUGUUGGGUUAAGUCCCGCAACGAGCGCAACCCUUAUCCUUUGUUGCCAGCGGUUAGGCCGGGAACUCAAAGGAGACUGCCAGUGAUAAACUGGAGGAAGGUGGGGAUGACGUCAAGUCAUCAUGGCCCUUACGAGUAGGGCUACACACGUGCUACAAUGGCGCAUACAAAGAGAAGCGACCUCGCGAGAGCAAGCGGACCUCAUAAAGUGCGUCGUAGUCCGGAUUGGAGUCUGCAACUCGACUCCAUGAAGUCGGAAUUGCUAGUAAUCGUGGAUCAGAAUGCCACGGUGAAUACGUUCCCGGGUCUUGUACACACCG